GUUGAGGAAGAUAAUGACGGUACUCAACAAGGAAGUGACGGCUAACUACGUGCCAGCAGCCGCGGUAAAACGUAGGUCACAAGCGUUGUCCGGAAUUACUGGGUGUAAAGGGAGCGCAGGCGGGAGAACAAGUUGGAAGUGAAAUCCAUGGGCUCAACCCAUGAACUGCUUUCAAAACUGUUUUUCUUGAGUAGUGCAGAGGUAGGCGGAAUUCCCGGUGUAGCGGUGGAAUGCGUAGAUAUCGGGAGGAACACCAGUGGCGAAGGCGGCCUACUGGGCACCAACUGACGCUGAGGCUCGAAAGUGUGGGUAGCAAACAGGAUUAGAUACCCUGGUAGUCCACACCGUAAACGAUGAUUACUAGGUGUUGGAGGAUUGACCCCUUCAGUGCCGCAGUUAACACAAUAAGUAAUCCACCUGGGGAGUACGACCGCAAGGUUGAAACUCAAAGGAAUUGACGGGGGCCCGCACAAGCAGUGGAGUAUGUGGUUUAAUUCGACGCAACGCGAAGAACCUUACCAAGUCUUGACAUCCCUUGACGAUGCUGGAAACAGCAUUUCUCUUCGGAGCAAGGAGACAGGUGGUGCAUGGUUGUCGUCAGCUCGUGUCGUGAGAUGUUGGGUUAAGUCCCGCAACGAGCGCAACCCUUAUGGUCAGUUACUACGCAAGAGGACUCUGGCCGGACU
rnacentral:rRNA from 1 species